rnacentral:rRNA from 1 species
UACGAAGGGGGCUAGCGUUGUUCGGAAUUACUGGGCGUAAAGCGCGUGUAGGCGGCCCUGCAAGUCGGAUGUGAAAUCCCACGGCUCAACCGUGGAAGUGCAUUCGAAACUGCAGGGCUAGAGUCCUGGAGAGGAAGGUGGAAUGCUUGGUGUAGAGGUGAAAUUCGUAGAUAUCAAGCGGAACACCGGUGGCGAAGGCGGCCUUCUGGACAGUGACUGACGCUGAGACGCGAAAGCGUGGGGAGCAAACAGGGAUUAGAAACC